rnacentral:rRNA from 1 species
CAAUAGCGUAUAUUAAAGUUGUUGCGGUUAAAAGCUCGUAGUUGGAUUUCUGGAAAGGACGACCGGUCCACCCACUGGGUGAGAACAUGGUUCGGCUUGACCAUUUUCUUGGAGAACACUGCUGCGCUUCAAUGUGUGGGGUGGUAUCCAAGACUUUUACUUGAGGAAAUUAGAGUGUUUCAAGCAGGCGCACGCCCUGAACACAUUAGCAUGGAAUAAUGAGAUAGGACCUUGGUUCUAUUUUGUUGGUUUCUAGGACCGAAGUAAUGAUUAAUAGGGACAGUUGGGGGCAUUCAUAUUCCAUUGUCAGAGGUGAAAUUCUUGGAUUAACGGAAGAUGAACUUCUGCGAAAGCAUCUGCCAAGGAUGUUUUCAUUAAUCAAGAACGAAAGUUGGGGGCUCGAAGACGAUCAGAUACCA